rnacentral:rRNA from 1 species
GACGAACGCUGGCGGCGUGCUUAACACAUGCAAGUCGAACGGAAAGGCCCCUUUGGGGGUACUCGAGUGGCGAACGGGUGAGUAACACGUGAGUAACCUGCCCUUGACUUCGGGAUAACUUCAGGAAACUGGGGCUAAUACCGGCUAGGAAUCCUUGCUGCAUGGUGGGGGUUGGAAAGCUUCGGCGGUUUUGGAUGGACUCGCGGCUUAUCAGCUUGUUGGUGGGGUAGUGGCUUACCAAGGCUUUGACGGGUAGCCGGCCUGAGAGGGCGACCGGCCACAUUGGGACUGAGAUACGGCCCAGACUCCUACGGGAGGCAGCAGUGGGGAAUAUUGCACAAUGGGCGGAAGCCUGAUGCAGCAACACCGCGUGCGGGAUGACGGCCUUCGGGUUGUAAACCGCUUUCAGCAGGGGCGAAGCUUGUGGUGACGGUACCUGCAGAAGAAGCACCGGCUAACUACGUG